ensembl:snoRNA
CAUGCCCCAGUCGUGUUGCAGACGUGGCUGCAGUGCCUUGUUUGUGUCAUUAGGCGGCAGAGAGGAAAAGGCUGUGUCUGCGCUGGGGCUCUGGGACCUGUGAGCACUCAGGGACGAUGCAGCCUGACACG